rnacentral:rRNA from 1 species
AGUGAACGCUGGCGGUAGGCCUAACACAUGCAAGUCGAACGGCAGCACAGUAAGAGCUUGCUCUUACGGGUGGCGAGUGGCGGACGGGUGAGGAAUACAUCGGAAUCUACUUUUUCGUGGGGGAUAACGUAGGGAAACUUACGCUAAUACCGCAUACGACCUACGGGUGAAAGCAGGGGAUCUUCGGACCUUGCGCGAUUGAAUGAGCCGAUGUCGGAUUAGCUAGUUGGCGGGGUAAAGGCCCACCAAGGCGAUGAUCCGUAGCUGGUCUGAGAGGAUGAUCAGCCACACUGGAACUGAGACACGGUCCAGACUCCUACGGGAGGCAGCAGUGGGGAAUAUUGGACAAUGGGCGCAAGCCUGAUCCAGCCAUACUGCGUGGGUGAAGAAGGCCUUCGGGUUGUAAAGCCCUUUUGUUGGGAAAGAAAAGCAGCAGGUUAAUACCCCGCUGUUCUGACGGUACCCAAAGAAUAAGCACCGGCUAACUUCGUG